rnacentral:lncRNA from 1 species
UGAUGUUGUGAAUAUUGUGGUUUGUUUGUUUGUUUUCAUGAAAUACAUUUGCAAUCUCUAGGGAAAUAUAGCUAACGAUGGGACUGCUGGUGAUGAACGCCCAAACUGCAGGACUGGGGGAUGGCUCACUGGAGAAAUCAGUUGUCAGACAGAGUCCAGAUCACUGGGAUGGAUAUAGGAUGUGGUAACCUGCAAUCCCAGCCAUGAGUCUGAAGACUGACUGUAAAUUGAAGGCCUGCCUGAGACACAAAAAAAAAACAGUGGGACAAACAGCCACGUGUCUUUAGUGAGCAACCUGUACAUUCCGC